CCUAAUUGGACCGUACAACAUCCUCGCUGCUCGGAACCGCCCCCCGACCCAAAGGCCGCGGCUGCUAUUCAAAGAAUGUUGGGAACCAGAAUCGAAAUGCGGUAUCAUAGCCCAGAAAACAAUGCGAAAUCCUUCUGUUUCUGAACUGUCAUCUCAGCUGAGAUAGAUGAUCGGGGGCCCUACUGCAUCAACAGCAGUAUAAAACACCCCACCUAGAGAGAGCGCACUCAGGUACAAUAAUCACUGCUCACACCUUCAUCUCUCUAGGGCCCCUUGAGAUCAAGGCUACGUUUCUCAAUGGUCCAGACAAGAUGAGGAAAUUGAAGCUCAAGAGCCCUCGACUUGUGACUAUGACUAAUGGUCGCCGCAGAGCCGGACUCGAAUCACUUUAAUGGAAGAGAAGGCCCUUCCUGCUCGUUUAGCAGCGAGAGACCAACUGACUAGGGUACCAACUAAAUAAAGUUUAUACUAUGAAAACCUUCAUCUAAAUCUGCCCAAUUCACACCUAAACAACCGGAGAAGGGGCACUGCUUAAUUACCACAGUGUAUACAAUAUCACCUUAAUUUGAAUCUAACAACUCAACCACCGUGGACAAUGGCUGCAUGUACCUCAGGGAUAAAGCACUUGCCUGCCGUGUACAAGCUCCUGGGUAUGGCCCCCAGCACCAGAGGAAGAUAAAACAAGGAUAACCUGGAUGGGUCCCACCAUUUCCUUCUGGCAUGCAGUGGACCUCGGAUAUGUAUGAAACAGUGAUAUCUUUUCUUUGUUCUAUUUAAAAGCAUCCUUUUGAGAAAUAUGAAGGUUGUUUUCAGCCCUACUCCUUGUACAUUUUUGGAAAACAGAAAUGUGCCUAAGAAAAUGAAGAUCUAUGUAAAUUCUUAUGAGUAUUAUGUAAUCACUGAUAUCCACGCCCCCCCCCCCCAUCCAUUUAUAUAAGAGCAGAACACACACUGG
rnacentral:lncRNA from 1 species